CCCACCCCUAGAGGGCAUUGAGGUACCACUGCUGUGUCACAUGUAGGUGGCAGGGAGGAGACAGGCUAUAACUACGCUCGGUGUUCUGACCUAUGAACACCUGGAUGACCAGUGGCUAACAUU
ensembl:snoRNA LOC120100456 small nucleolar RNA SNORA17